rnacentral:tRNA from 1 species
CGACAGUUAGACCCGGAAUGUGGUCUCGACCUCUACUUGAGGUCGAGAAACACGCGGUGCGCGGAGUUUGGUUCCAUGCCUGUGCUGCCGA